rnacentral:lncRNA from 1 species
CGCUAUGUAAUUGGUAUUUGAAUAUCACAACAACAACUUACAUAGCGGUAGAGUUUAGGUCUUUUUAGCUUUAAGUUUUGAGAUUAUUUUUUAGUGUUUAGGGUUGGUAGAGUUUUAGCGUUAGAUGGGAUUUAUGGUUAGGUUUAUGUAGGGUUUUAGGGUUAGAUUUAGGCAGGGUUUAGGGUUAGCAGGGUUUAUGGUUUGGUAGAGUUUAGGGUUAGAAAGGGUUUAGGGUUAGGUACGGUUUUUAGGGUUAGGCAGGGUUUAGGGUUAGGAAGGGUUUAGGGUUAGGAAGGGUUUUGGGUUAGGUAGCAUUUAGGGUUAAAAAGGGUUUAGGGUGGGUAGGGUUUAGGGUUAGUAGGGUUUUGGGUUAGGUAGGGUUUAGGGUUAGGUAGGGUUUAGGGUUGGUAGGGUUUAGGGUUAGGUAGGGUUUAGGGUUCGGUAAGGUUUAGGGUUAGGUAGGGUUUAGGGUUAGGUAGGUUUUAGGGUUAUGUAGGGUUUAGGGUUAGGUAGGGUUUAAAAUUGGGUAGGGUUUAGGGUUAGUAGGGUUUAGGGUUAUGUAGGGUUUAGGGUUAGUA